UUUAUUUACAUAGUGAUUCCAGAAGAAAAACAGUACUGCCACCAAAAGUAUACAUUAUGGGGACAGCUAAACAAUGGUGCCCCAUCUACAGCUCAAUCAAAAAUCCACCCUUUGAAAUGAGAGGCUCCUUUUGUAGGGGAAGCUCCUCUCAUCAAAACAUACCAAAUUCAUUAAUUAAUUAAGUCAUUACAAACAUCAAAGUCUACAUUUUCCACUCAGCUAAACAUAUCAUGUAUUAUCUUAAUUGAACCUUUGCAAUCGGUUUAUCAUAAUACAAUAUAACACAUUUACAGAAUCCCAUUCGGGACAGGCACUACAAAGCCAGCCCGAUUGACAUAACUCGGGUCCUUAUUCCAGCAGACCCGGAAGCUACAGAGACGGAGAGAGAGGAACAGAAACAAAACAGAGCGCUCAUCCAAAACAUUGAUAAGUACAAUAAACGUAACUUAAAUUAAUCAUGAAAGCUUGUCUGCCUAUUUAUUAUACCAUACCAAACUGUUACCGACGGGAGGUAAGAAUAAUGUGUGUAAUGUAUGAACUCAGAUCGCUAAGUUAACUUGUGUCGACCAACAUUGCUAACUGAGCUGGAAACUGAGCAGGGAGGGGAGAUGAGUGUGUGUGUUAGUUUACCAAAUGCUGCCCGCGGCCAGUAACGGACUUCUCCGUCACAUUACCUUCCUCCUCUCCCGAAGCGACCAGGUUCGGGAGCGGGGAUAGGUAGUCGCCUUGACAUUUUAUUUUCCUGCCUUGUGACUGACACAACCGGAAGGGAUGGAGCUCCAGAGACCAUAUGGUCACGAAAGCAUUUCGGUCCUUCAUGGUCUGGAUCUAGGUCAGGGCUCUGUGGGCCGUGUGCAGGUCAAAUUCUCUCCCAAGAAGUCGGAGGCUGGACCCCCUGCUGACAGCACCUGAUUACAACCUUCGUCACCUUGGAGAACGUGAAGGGCAAUAAGAUUCUAUCUUUCAGCUAAAGGAGACUCUACAACAAGUCUCGAAGGUGAAUUGUCUACGCAUUGAAAACCUUAAAAAGACUACACCUAUAUCCCAGAACUUCAGAGAGCAGUGUUGAAAAGACUCUCAAUUGGUGCCACCAACAAGAACGGCUGAGCUGCUACGCAACACAGGAUGCAGUUAGCACACCUUUGAGCUGGGAAGGACUGGAGCUUUCCCGUGAAGUGUGAAAACCUACAGAGUUCUCAGAAUUGGUUGUUGAAUGAGGUUGGCCUACAACCAAACAUAUAAAUAAGGGAAGUUUGUGUGGGCGACAACAACACUUUGUGCAUUCUUUACCUAGCAUAUAGUCAUCAUUGUACUUUUGGAAUGGUUUUUAGAAUGAUUUACUAAACUGAAAUUACAGAAUACAGCCAAUAUAUGAUUGUAAUGUUGUGAAACAGGUAAACGGUACCACAUCU